GUCUACGGCUAUGCUACCCUGAACAAGCCCAAUCCCAUCUGAUCUUGGAAGCUAAGCGGGGUUGGGCCUGGUUAGUACUUGGAUGGGAGACCACCUAAGAAGACCAGAUGCUGUAGGUG
rnacentral:rRNA from 1 species